UCCUGGCUCAGGAUGAACGCUAGCUACAGGCUUAACACAUGCAAGUCGAGGGGCAUCAUGGAGUUGCUUGCAAACUCUGAUGGCGACCGGCGCACGGGUGAGUAACGCGUAUCCAACCUUCCCUAUAGUAGAGGAUAGCCCGGCGAAAGUCGGAUUAAUACUCUAUGUUUUCCGUUGCAGACAUCUAAGAUGGAACAAAGGCUUGCCGCUAUAGGAUGGGGAUGCGUCUGAUUAGGUUGUUGGCGGGGUAACGGCCCACCAAGCCUUCGAUCAGUAGGGGUUCUGAGAGGAAGGUCCCCCACAUUGGAACUGAGACACGGUCCAAACUCCUACGGGAGGCAGCAGUGAGGAAUAUUGGUCAAUGGGCGAGAGCCUGAACCAGCCAAGUAGCGUGCAGGAUGACGGCCCUAUGGGUUGUAAACUGCUUUUAUGCGGGGAUAAAGUUCACUACGUGUAGUGUUUUGUAGGUACCGCAUGAAUAAGGACCGGCUAAUUCCGUGCCAGCCGCGGC
rnacentral:rRNA from 1 species